rnacentral:lncRNA from 1 species
UAGAACAUAAAAUUCGAAAAUACAAAAAUAUUUUCAAUUUUAUCUUUUAUCUUUCUAUUUAAGUUAAGGCCAUUAGUCUUUUGUAGUAAUAUUAAUCUAAGUUUUCUAUCAUUCUAAUUAACAUCUCUCUGCUUUCAUUUUAAUAUAUAAUCUUUGAAAACUGAUGGUUUCAUAUCAAUAUAAAUUUUAUGUUAAUUAAAGUCAAUUACUAGUAUUCUAGUAGUAUUUUGCUAGUUAUUUUUAGUUUUUGAGCCCAAUUUGGAAGCCCAACACGACCUAACCCAUUACCCCUUCUUCUUUAACCUUACACCCUAACCUUUCUUCUGAAUCUAGACUACCAAUACCUAAAACCCUAGACCAUAAGAACCUGCCGCCGUCGCAACACCACCCCCACCACCAAGCAACAGCCGCCGCAUCUCCCUUUCCCACCAUCUCCUAUGCCAAAAAACCACCCUCUCCAAUACUAGACCCCUCGUCUCACCUUCUUCUUCUUCUUCACCAAACACAAACCCUAGGAACACAUCUCGGAACACAGCCACUGCCCGCCAGCUAGCCUCCCACGUAGCAGUGCCAUUCUUCUUGCUUCAUCUCCAACCUCUCCAACACCAACCAUCCGCAACCUGACUCGCCGCAAACCAACCUUGCCUCCCUUCAUGAUUUCUUCUCAAAGCCUUCCGAUUUUCUGUCAUACAGCUCACACGCACACGCAGUCACAUAUAGGAAGGAAAAUGGCUUCUGUUGCUGAUUUCUAAGGUAAAGAAAAAAUGAAAAUGGUAGCUUCUUCUCCACUUAGCCACCUCUUCUGCCUCCAACACUGAUAGUACUUUUGUACAACUCCGGUUCUUGAGUUGCCGGAAGAUUUCACAUCAGCCAGAGUUUGAUUUGAAUAGACUGAUAUUCGUUGGAGUUUGUUUGAGGUUUCGUUCAGAUUUUUGUUCGUGUUUGAAUUCUCGUUGUCGUCGAGGUUUUUUCGGUCCGGGUUUCUAUUUAUACAGCAUCGCUAUAACUGACAAAUCUAUUUGAGGUCUUUUUCCCACCCCUUUCUUUAAUUAAUGCAUGAUGUUUUGGUGUUCUGUUUAGUUCUUUUAGUUUGAAUGACUUUGUAUUUCCAGUGAGUUUGUCAUAGCUCUUAAAACUAAUUCUCCAUGUUUACCUUUGAAAUGUUCUUACUGGACAUUAGUACAUUAGAGUGAAUGAUGAAUUUGGAAUUAAGACACAAGAUGCCUAAGAUAAUUCAUGGUUCAUGUGCCGAUUCAGAAAUGGACUAAGGCAAAAACAGUGAUUUGGUUUAAAAAUGACAUUAAAGUGAAUAUUGGAAUGGCUCUAUGGGCUUUACAUCUGAUGUGCUUGCCGUUUAAGUUUUGAAUUAUUUAUUUUUACCAUGUCAUUUUAUUCAACUGAGUCGUAUUGAAUUACUAUUUUUUUUUACGCUUUUGCUAGGAGCAUGUUUAGGCCGACCACACUUGGGUAGGCAAACCUUAGGAUUUUUUGGUUCGGAUUUUGAGGUGAGAGGUCGUUCUCUUAGUUAAAUUUAUCCAAGAAAUGUCCCGAAGUAUUUGUAUUUGGAGACCGAAAGUAGAACUCUUAGUAUUUUAUUUUAUUUUUAUUUUUAUUUUCAUUUUUUCUUUUAUUAGGUGGGGAUAACCUCAAGUCUCGUGUGUGUUUAUUCUGCUUUUUCGUGUUUAUUUUUACCUCAAUUUGAAUAUUCUAAAAUCUAAUUAGAUAGAGUACGCAAUCGUGACUUUCAUGGGAUUUGGGGAGUGCCUACCCGAAUCUCUGGUGCAGACAUAGUUUUGUACUACAAAGUGUUUAAAAGGAAAAAUUAUUUUUAUAAUACGGUGACCUGACACACUGAAAUCAAUGUUAAGUGACAACUCUGAAAAAUCCUUUGAAACACAUCUUUUUAUCACUUUCAAAAUUGAAACCCCUUUUGAGCUCCAAAUCUUUUUAUUAUUAUUAAGGGGGUUAAUAAAGUUGUAAAAAAAGGGUGUGACAACUUUGGCAACUCUGCUGGGGAAUUGCAGGUUCGAGCUGGUACUUGAUCUUGUUGGCUUUUAGGAUAUUCGGUUGAGGUGUUUGUUUUUUUAUUUGCUUUGUUUAUUUGGUUUGUUUAUCUUAUUUCCUUGUUUUGUUGGUUAUUUGUUUAUCAUUUUUCUUUAUGUGUUACUGCUUUAUAAACUGUCAUCAUUUGCAUAACCAUGAGUCUUCUUUCUGCAACAAGUCCUCCGGAGUACGUUUGAGCGUACACGGCCUUUUGUGAGUCACCCGUGUCUUUAGGGGGGUGACGUGGGAGCGUGGAGUGGGCGGACAGCUAGAGCAACCGUCAUCGACCACGUGCUGCCCCGAAUUGCUUUGUCUAGUGAAUCCCAAAUUUAGGUCAGCCUGUCGGUCAUUCUUAUUUGCAUCACGUCAUUUGGACCUAGUAGGGCUCUGUCCCAGGCACCGUGUCCGUUUGUAGGAAGUCUAUCCAAAUUUUGUCAAAAAUGGGCCCGUGGUCCAAAAAGACAUUCAAUCAUCCCUAUGUGAUACAUGUUGCAUCUUUGAGGGUAAAAAGGUCAUUUGAAGGACCGAUGUUUGGGAGAGAAGGGUGAAAAUGAAGCAAGUAGGGCAUAGUUAUAUUUUUCUUUCACAACUUUUUCAAAAAAAAAUAGACCAAAAAAAUGAAAAUGAAAAAAAUCCAAAAAGAGAUUUUACACUUUCCCAUCAUUUUCCAAAAAUUCAAAAAAAAUAAAAAAAGAAAAUCCAAAAAGAUUUUACAUUUUGCAUCAUUUUUCAAAAAGACAAAAAAAUAUUUUUUCCAAAUUAGUGUCAUUUUUUAAGCUUUCUCCCAUAUCCAAUCUUCCCGAACUACGCGAACAUGAUUCUCGUCUUUCGGGACAUGAUACAUAGGCAACCACAUAAGGUCCGGUCUUCCUAGUGAUUCUUAGGUUCUUGGCUUUGCGGGGUCUUAGCCAAAUCUUGCAAGUCUAGCCACUUUUGGCCACAUCGGCCAUUCUUGCAAAAUGGGGUUAUUUUCGCAGAAGUGAUUCAAUAACCCAUGUCUUAGGAUCUUAAGUCCACAACUAGGUGUAAUAUUACUUUAAGGUUCCUCCUUUUUGAGGUUGCAUCUUUAUCCACUUUUGGCCAUAUUGGCCGAUUUUGCUAGAAUGGGUCAUAUCUGCAAAUUAAUUUUGCGCCACGAUUAUCGGGAGUUUGAAUUCAUAUAAGCCUUAGUGAGGUAUAUCUCCAUAUCUUAGAUUUCACCUUUGUUGAGUUUGCAUUAAUAGCCACUCUUGGCCAUGUAGGUUAUUUUUCAAAAAUAGCCCAAUCUUGUCUUGCAUGUGUCCAAUAGGAGGUGUGGUCUCACAUAGUGUCUCGAGUCAUUUAAUCUGUUUGGUAUUAUUUUUCUCAUUCAGGUAUGGAUUCAUUUAUCAGAGCUCGAGCACGACAGAUACCCCGGGACCAUCACAUUUGGGAGUUGUUUGAGGAGACUUUUUAUUUUUGAGUUUGUAUUAUAUUAUUUUUUGCUUUCUAGUCUUGUAUGGUAGUAUUGAGUCUUUUAGUUGGUGUAACAGUUUGUCGUAGUAUAGUUGAGUUUGUCAAGUCUCGCGUCAUCAUAUUUCUUGUUUUGUAUUUGAAAAACCAAAAAAAAAUUAUAAAUGUAAAAUCCAAAAAGAUUUUUGUUUUUAGUUUAUUUUGUCCAUUACUUUUCCAGAACUACGCUUGAUCUGAUUCAUGAGGGAUAUGAUAGGUAGUCAAACUACAUAGGGUUCGAUCGAAUUAUUAUUUUUUUAAAGGAAAAAAAUAAAAUUGUGGAUGUGAGAAGUGAGAGGAAAGAAAAGAGUGUUUAUGAGAAAGAAAAAAGAUGAAGAAAAAUGAGCAAGCCAAGAAGUGCGACAAAAGAAAGAAAAAUUGAAAUGAACAAAUUAGGAUGAUGCUAAAUGACCUUGUGACCCUCGAAGCCAUUCUAGAACCGUUAAUUGUUGCAAGCGUCAUUGCACGCAAUGCGAUAUUUCUAUCUGAUAAAUGCCCUAACACUAAUAUGUUUUCUUUGUUUUUCUCCCCAUUGUUACUUUCAUUGUUAUCAUAAUAGAGGGUGGUUAGUUUGUGGCACUUUUCAUCCGUACAACACAAGGUCAAAGAGCGAGGUAGACAUGGCUAGCAAAGACUUGGAUACAGGAGUUGUCGACCCCUGGAGGGAGAUUGUGCAGUCAGAAUCUGAAAUUAAUGAGGAGGUCUAAAGGCUGAAACAACAAAUGUCUGAAAUGUGUCAAGCAUGGGCCAAUGGUCAAGGACCACCCCUCUCUUAUGCUUUCCCAGAGUUUACACCCAUCUCGGCUACUACCUCUCUGGUUUCAUUGUCCGAUCAAUUUUAUCCAUUUAUGUUUAAUCUUUAUCCCAACUGCAUGACUAUAGAUGGAACUUCUGUUGCGCACUCCCAAAGUGUGCCAUUGACAACCAAUCAGACAACCACUAUAGUUAUGCCUAUCUUCACCAUCCCCCAGCCGACAGUGGUGUAGAGGAAAACUCAUGAGUCACAAUUUUCUACCCAGCAAGAAUAAUACCACUCUUAUCUAUUUGAUCUUCCUGCAAAGAUUGAGAAGCCUAGCCGAAAAAUAGCACCGGAAGAAAUAACCCAAAUACUGAAAAGCUUGGAACAACAGUUGAAAAACAUACAAGGGCUGGCAGGUCAGAAGAGUAUUGCCUUCAAGGUUCUAUGUAUGUUCCCCGAUGUUUGUUUGCCACUUGGUUUCAAGACUCCCAAAUUUGAAAAGUAUAAUGGACAUGGAGAUCCCAUGGCCCACUUGAAAAGGUAUUGCAAUCAACUAAGAGGUACGGGAGAAGAUGAAGAAUUACUGAUGGCUUAUGUUGGGGAAAGCCUUACGGAUUUAGCCUCCGAAUGGUUUAUGGAUCAAGACACAUCUUGCUGGUAUGACUGGGAUGACAUGGCCCAGGCCUUUGUCAAAUAGUUCCAAUAUAACAGUGACAUCGUCCCGGACCGUAAUUCCCUUUCAAAUCUGAAGAAGAAACCAACUGAAAGCUUCAGGGAAUAUGCCAUUAAAUGGAGAGAACAAAUAGAUAGAGUUAAGCCACUCAUGGAUGACCAUGAGCUAAUCACUGUCUUCCUUUGGUAUCAAGAUAAAGAUUACUUUCAAAACAUGAUGUCUGCAGUUGGCAAAUGAUUCUCGGAAGCAAUAAAAAUGGGAGAAAUGAUAGAGAAUGGCCUUAAGACAGGCAAAAUUAUUAGUCAAGCAGCUCUCAAAGCUGCAACUUAGGCUGUCCAAAUUGAAUCUGGUAAUUUUAGUAGCACGAGAAAGAAGGUUGAAGAAAUCAUGAUGGCAUCAAGGUCGAGAAGCGAUCCUAGAAGAACAUCUCAAAGGCAUGACCUGCCUCGUUUGUUUUUUGACAAUUCCCCUAAGAACCCACAAUACUCUAUUGCUCCACCCUAGUAUGUUGUCCAGCCACCAAGAUACCCCAGAAGGCGAGCUCCAGUACCACAAAAUCUCCACCAGCCUCCACAAAAUUUUCAAGUGCCCCAUAACCCUCAUCCAAGCCAGGGGUAUAGAGGUAAACAAAGGUUAAACGAUAAUUUUACACCGAUAGGAGAGUCCUAUGCAAGCUUGUUUGAGAAAUUAAAGCAUUAUGAUCUGAUUGCACCUAUUCCUCCUAAUCAUGUGGACCCACGUGCAAGAAGCUUUAACCCUUCUGAAAGGUGUGAAUACCAUUCCAAUGCCCAAGGGCACACUGUCGAAAGCUGUCGGGAUUUGAAAAGUGAAAUAGAAAGAAUGAUUCAAGAAGGGAUAAUUGUGAUCCAGGAUAGGGAUACCCAGAAAAUCGUGCAGAAUCCUUUACCUGCACAUGAUGAUGCACACUUUGUGGGGAGGAUGUAUGGUGACACAGAGUAUGAGAAUCCUCUUGGGAACUUGCUGACUGAAGUUAAUGAUAUUGAAAUUGGUGAGGGUCCCAUUAAUUGUGAUAUGCAACCCAGUGGAUAAGACGUCGAGCUUGGUAAUUGGAAAGACACUCCUUUCUUGGCUAGCCAGGGAAGAGUUUUGGUGGUUUAUUUUGUUGUCAUUUCUGUUGUCCGAGUUAUUUCAGGGUUGUAAUCCGGAUAUUGUCUUGUGGCUCAAACCCUUCUUCUUCUUAUUUUGUCUUAUUCGUUUAGUUGUAGUAACUCGUCUAGUGUUAUUUAGGAUUGUUCCAGGGUUGUAACCCAUGUCUAUUUUGCUUGUUUUGUUCAAACCCUUUUCACCAUCUGUCUAAUGCAAUCUCCUAUUUUCUGUUAAGUUUUUGUUUAAGUCACUUUUCCUUUUAUAGUUUUUUUCAUCCUGACUCUAGUGACAUGACAUGCACGCAUAAUUCUCAGCCUGGUCUUGAAAGUUAGUCUAAUCAUAAAGCAAUGACGUGAUUUUGAAUAUGAUAAAAGGAGGCAUUUGAAGAAACAAGUAAUGAUUCACGCAUUUUGAGAUAACUUGAAGCUUGAAUUGAGACUGAGGCAGUUAGACUGGAAAAUCAAGGGGUUGAUGAUAAUAUACAACAAGGGAAUGUCUCUCAAGAAGUUUGAGGUAGAUCAGUCAGUGCUGAAAAACAUUCUUCCACAUCAAGAUAAGUUUUAAUCAAGUAUGCAUCUAACUGGCAAGGAUCAUUCAUUGGGACAAAGGUAUUGCCCGUCGACACUUUGUGUUUGUUUUGAUACCAUCAAUAGAUACUGCGUAUGAUUUAUUGCUUAUCUUCAAUUACAUGUUUGUACUUGGCAUUUUAUUCUGCUACCCAAACACUUUUAUCUUUCGCUACCCCUUUUGAACCUUAAUUUGUUUUGUUCCAUACCCCUCUUUUGGAAUCAGAAAUAGAGUUAGGAACUAGAAAAGAAAAGAAAAGAGAAAAAGAAGAAAAAAAAAAGAAAAAAAAAGAAGAAAAAAAAGAAAAAAAAGAAAGAAAAAAAACCAACUUUGUGUGAAUUACGUUUGACCUGAUUCUUGUCACCACAAGAUACGUAGGCAACCUUACGGUUCGGCCGCACCAAAUAAAAUAUUUUAUAAUCCCCUGAAGUCAAGAGUGGGGCUUAGAAACCUCAUCAAAACAAAACAAAAAAAAAGCAAAAAGUAAAACAAAAAUUCCCUAAACUCCAAGAAACUAGGGCAAAGGUUUUAAUUUUACCAAAAGACCUGAUUCCAAAAGUUGUAAUUUUGAACCCUUUCAUCUUAAAUUAUUUUGAGCCUUCAUGCCGCCCUUUCUUUCUAACCCUGUCCAAAAACCUACAUUACGGUCCAAAGAAAGACCUUCCGACUAAUUUUUGAGGAUGUCAAAUCCAGUGUGUGGCGAAAGUAUGAUCUUCCUACAUCAUGGAUAAUAUCUAUGUUCUCAGCACAAAGAGAGAAAAUGAUAAAAUGAGAGAGUCUUAUCGGUGAAAACCCUCAGGGGCACCAGAAGGCGACUGUGAGUUGAGAAAAGAGCAAAAUGAGAGAUGCUUGAUGGUGAAAACCCUUCAACACCACAAGUCAACUGAGGAUUGUGGAUCAAAAAGGACAAUUGGAGCUCUGAAGCCCAGUUUCACAGCUUAGAGGCAUAACAAGAGUUAAAGAUUAGACUUGCUUGAUAGAUCAGGCCGCUUAAUCCAAAAUUCAUGUCAUGGUUAGUGGAGAUGACCUUCAAAUCAUAUUAGUUCCUACUUUGUUCCUUUUCCUCGGUAAAAAUAUUUUCUUGUUAUAUACCAUCUCUUCUCGCUUUUUCCCUUAUUUUGUUCCUUUUGUUUUGUUUGAGUCUAUUUUUGUCGAAACAAGUGAGAAAUGACUUCAAAAUCUGCCAUCAGCUUUUUAAUCACACAAAGCCGAGUUUGAAAAGCACAUCAAAAUUGCAUAAGACAGAGGAUAAUAGUGUGUACACUGGGUUGGUGAUAAUAGAUAUUCUUUGGGAUUGAUGUAAAAUGCAAAGAUUGGGUGAAUGUUAGAACACGAGUGCAAUGCAUCGGGCAUAAGGUAUUGGAUUUGAACGAAUCAGGAAUAUUUCUUGUGAUAAGGGUUGUCCGAAAAAGCAGUCGGUCGAUAACAAGCAAUGUCUUCCAAGUUGAUCCUGACAAGUGCAAAAGAAAUCGCCUUUGAGGUCAAUGCCACAAACUAACCACCACAUUUAAACCCACAAGUUUUCCUUGUUUGAAACAGGAUCAAACUAGUGCAAGCAAGUUGGUUCAAAAAUAAGGGAAAAAAAAAAGAAAAGAAAGAAAAAGAAAAAGAAAAAAGGAAGAGAAGAGCCGACAAAGGGAAGCUUCUCAAAUCUUUGCCUUUAUAUGUCUUGCUAGUAUGCAUAAGAUGUUGCCAUUGCUCUUCACAUUUUUUCUCCUAUGAUAAAAAGUACUAGUUUGAUGGAUUUUCCUCCCAAUCAAAUCUUAGUCUGAUGAAUUUUUCUCCUAAGAUAGAAAACCUAGUCUGAUGAAUUUUCUCCUAGGAUCAAAAUCUUAGUCUGAUGAAUCUUUCUCCUAAGAUAAGAAACCUAGUCUGAUGAAUUUUCUCCUAGGAUAGAAAAUUUUAGUCUGAUGAAUCUUUCUCCUAAGAAUGCGAGUCAACGGUCCGAGAUAACCAACAGAAGUAGUCCCAAUCCAAAAAGAAAGAAAGAAGAAAGAAAAAAAGAAGUGAAUCCAAAACGAAAAAGCAGGCGAAAGAUGUGAAUUGUUGAAGACAUGGUUGAAGUUAUGAGCAUUGCAUGCCCGGUCUUGACCUAAAGAAGUCGUGGAAGAAUGAAUCAGCACCUGCAGCUAGCAAACAUCAAGGUUCAAAUCAAAAGUCUACAUGAAGAACCAUUCAUGACUCAAGAUCAAGCUUUAGUAGACUUGUAGAUAGGGAUCUUGUAACUCAUAGCUGAUAGGCUUGCUUAGUUCUUUUAGAUUUUGAUUUGAUGUAGUAACAGGACCAUGGACCAGAACUUUGACAGCACCUCAAUCGUCUCUCCACCUCGGUACACUCCAUCACUGUUCCUACUUCUGAACUACACGUGGCUUGAUUCCUUUAUAGCCAAGGAUAUGUAGGAAGCUCAAAUACCAGGACUUGGUCACAAUUGUUUUAGCCAUCUUUAUUUUCUUUUGAAUAAGCGUCGGGUCAUAAAUCAAUUACGUUGCUUAUUGUUCUUUGCUCCGAAAACUCUUCGUGUUUCCAAGCAAAGAGGGGCAGCUGUAAGCACGUAAUUUUUGACCCACGCAACUUUUAAAAGUAGUAUUUUUAAAAAUAUUUACUUAUGUUUAUUUUAAUAGUACUUAGCCUAUUUUUCACUUUUAGUCUAAUAGUAGAACAUAAAAUUUUAAAAUACAAAAAUAUUUUCAAGUUUAUCUUUUAUCUUUUUAUUUAAGUUAAGGCCAUUAGUCUUUUGUAGUAAUAUUAAUCUAAGUUUCCUAUCAUUCUAAUUAACAUCUCUCUGCUUUUAUUUUAAUAUAUAAUCUUUGAAAACUGAUGGUUUCAUAUCAAUAUAAAUUUUAUGUUAAUUAAAGUCAAUUACUAGUAUUCUAGUAGUAUUUUGCUAGUUAUUUUUAGUUUUUGAGCCCAAUUUGGAAGCCCAACACGACCUAACCCAUUACCCCUUCUUCUUUAACCUUACACCCUAACCUUUCUUCUGAAUCUAGACUACCAAUACCUAAAACCCUAGACCAUAAGAACCUGCCGCCGUCGCAACUCCACCCCCACCACCAAGCAACAGCCGCCGCAUCUCCCUUUCCCACCAUCUCCUAUGCCAAAAAACCACCGUCUCCAAUACCAGACCCCUCGUCUCACCUUCUUCUUCUUCUUCACCAAACACAAACCCUAGGAACACAUCUCAGAACACAGUCGCUGCCCGCCAGCUAGCCUCCCACGUAGUAGUGCCAUUCUUCUUGCUUCAUCUCCAACCUCUCCN